rnacentral:rRNA from 1 species
GAUCAUGGCUCAGGACGAACGCUGGCGGCGUGCCUAAUACAUGCAAGUAGAACGCUGAAGGAGGAGCUUGCUUCUCUGGAUGAGUUGCGAACGGGUGAGUAACGCGUAGGUAACCUGCCUGGUAGCGGGGGAUAACGUAUUGGAAACGAUAGCUAAUACCGCAUAAUAGUAGUUGUUGCAUGACAACUGUUUGAAAGGUGCAAUUGCAUCACUACCAGAUGG